CUGCUGCACGAUGCGCAAGUCCCACCAAAAUCCUCCAGGUUCCUCCAGCAGCCGGACAUCUGCACAGCUGGUGGAGUGUCGUCUCCGGGAGCGCGUCGUGGACCGGAUUAAAUAACAGUUUAACAAAAGAAAGAAUAAAAAAUAAGAAAGAAAUAAAGAAAAGGUCAGGGCGAUCCAUCAGAUAUGACCUCAGCCGCGUGGAUUCAUAACGCAGCCGCAACAUAAGUCAAAGACGCUUUUAGUGGAAACGACGAUGCGUCUCACAGCGGCGCUGUUCAUUCUGAUCGUGACGGGCAUCGCCAGAGGGUGGGAAUGCAGAGCAGGGUGCAAAACAGAAAAUGGAUUUUGUGAGAGACCAGGGAAGUGCAGGUGCAAACCAGGGUGGCAAGGAGAGAGCUGUGAGCAGUGCGUGCCCUUCCCUGGAUGUUUGCACGGCACCUGUGAGAAAGCGUGGCAGUGUAACUGCGAGGAGGGCUGGGUGGGUAGCCUGUGUGACCAAGACACCCGCCUUUGCUCAUCCAAGCCGUGCUCUGGAAAUGCCACCUGUGUUGAAACAGGGGAAGGGGGAUACCUGUGUGUCUGCCCCCACGGCUACAGCGGAGAGGACUGCCACCUGAACACAGCACGCUGUGCCACAAACAGCGCUCCUUGUCAGAACGGUGGUAUGUGUCUCGAUGGUACAGUGAACUCCUCCUGUGUUUGUGCUUCUGGAUUUUCUGGAGAAUUCUGUGAGAUCAGCAUUGACAGCUGCCAACCGAACCCCUGCCUCAACGGUGGUAACUGCACCAACCACGGCCUGGCCUUCACGUGCGCCUGUCUGCAUGGCUUCACUGGUUUCACUUGUAACGACACAGCUAGCCUGUCUCCCUGCACCGGCAGACCCUGUGCCAACGGGGGCACCUGUGUCGGUCAAACUGACGGAACCUUCCAGUGCAUUUGCCACAAAUGGUUUACAGGUCCCACGUGUUCUGUGUCUCAUAGACCGAAGUCCAAAACCAAAGCUGUUAGUGUCCUAGCGAGACCCGCGGAGCACCGAGUGUUCUCGCUGACCCCUCAGCACUACUCCCUCCCGGCACAUGCCUUCCACAAGCUCCUCAGACCCCCCGACAGAGACCUGCUGAAGAUCACCCUGAAGGAGACGGUCCAUUCCUCCGGCGUUCUGGUUACUCAUGGUCAGCUUAUCUGUUUUGGCAUGCUGGCCCUGCUCACCUGUCUGGUCAUCCUGGGUACGACGGGAAUCGUGUUCUUUGGGCGUUGUGAGACAUGGCUGGCCAACGCCAAGUACAGCCAGCUCGUACGGCAGCAAAGAGAACACCUGCUGAGAGAAACAGGAGGUGCCAACCAGGAAGAGCCGGCGCACUCAGUGAACAUCAUUUUGCCAGAAAAAAUAAGACUCACCAGCUUUGCGAAGCACUACACCUCAAUUUGACAACCCUGUCCUGAAUGUCCAAAAACACAGAAUUAAACACCCGGACUCUUGUACAAAGCAAGAACUGCAAUUUUAAAGUCUUACAGUCAAACAUUUUAAAGUUAACUUUUAACCCAUAUUUUAACACUGUGUUGAACCUUACACAUAGUUUAAGCUGUAGAGAGUUGAUAUGAUCAACUCUGAGAAAUAACUUCAACAAUUUGCAAGUUCGAACAGCGAGUAUUAACAAAAAGAGACUGUUGAGAAUUGAAAGUUAAAAUAAGAGUUUUUAAAAGAGUUGAAUCAACACCGAUAAGAGGAACUCAGAAACAAUUUCAACAGUGUACAAAGUUAAACAGUAAGAGUGUUAAAAUAAGAGUUUGUAGAGAAGUUGAAUCAACACUGAUAAGAUCAACUCUGAGAAACAAUUUCAACAAUGUACAAGGUUAAACAGUAAGAGUGUUAAAAUAAGAGUUUGUAGAGAGUUGA